rnacentral:tRNA from 1 species
GUCAGUAUGGCAGAGUGGUUUAAAGUGUCAGACAUAAGUUCUGGUCUUCGUAAGAGGGCGUAGGUUCAAAUCUUACUUUUUACA